AUGUGCAGAAAGGGGGAAUUUGUAAUCUCGGCAAUGGUUAGAUCUCUGGCUGAUGACAAAAUCUGGAAAGUUUCUUCUAUGUAUGGGCCACAGGAGGUCGAAGACAAAAUCAGGUUUCUGGAGGAGCUGGCACAUCUAGGCCAGCAGGUUCAAGUACCCUGGAUUAUCAAUGGGGAUUUCAAUCUGGUGAGCAAGGAGGAGGAGAGAAGCACUCGAAGGAUCAAUAGGAGGACUGCAAACAAGUUUAGGCACACCUUGAAUAGCCUUGGUCUGCAUGAUAUGCCUCUGGCAGGCAGAUGCUUCACUUGGUGCAAUGGUCAAGAGCAGACAGUUAUGGCACGUCUAGAUAGGCUGCUGUUUAAUAAUGAAUGGGAAGAUCUAUUCCCGAUCAGCGACCUGACACCCCUAAGCUCGAACAUCUCGGAUCACUGCCCCCUUCUACUCUCGGUCUCCAGGAAACGUCCACGAGCACACAGAUUCAGGUUCGAAAACUUCUGGUGCAAAAUUCCGCGUUUUUUGGAGGUGGUUCGAGAGGCUUGGGAGGAGACAGUCAACAGUUAG
rnacentral:rRNA from 1 species